GCAACCACCGCGACUGCCACACAAACCCCAGUCCACGCAUCGCAGAACCUGUUUAAAGGAGCCGCAGCCGGACUUUGAACAGCAAAGCAGGAGUCCGCCUGGGAAAUGCGCAUGGGCGAGGCGCGUGCCCUUUCUGCUGUCAUAGUGACUCCAACGGUUGGCUAAGGACGACUCCUUGAACCUUAUCAAAGGAGGAGCCCUUCGGGGCAGUGCGUCCGUGUUGAGGCUCCAGCCUGACCAAUCCAGGGGGGUCGAAAAAACAGUUUCAGGACACCACGAUACACGGAGGGCUGACCAGGAUGCAGAAAAAGCAGAGGGAGUCCUGAGAAAGCAGCGCAGCAUCUCAGCCUCAGGCCUGCAUGGACGGCGUUCGGGAGGGGAGCAGACCGACGUGAAAGGAGAUGGUUCUAUCUCCUCGUGGCUCUUGUCUGAGAAACAAAGCCACACCACAAAAUCUAAAAGAAGAAGCUAAGAACAGGACAUGGCAUGAUUCUUCUCAAUGGAACCCUAGCCUCUCAGGAGAAGACACCCGUUUGCCUCUCCUGCCCUUAUGCCUGUGGCGGUGGUUUGCAGGUGUUCUUUGAUUUUCCCCGACAUUGAUGGAAAUGUCACAUUUGCCCCCCUUCCAAGGGGCACAUGCCUGGACACCAUUGUUGGUGUUGCCAUGGCUCCAUAUGCCUCCGGUGACACACAUUCACAGCAUCUGCUACGGGAUACGCCAGGGCCACGCGUGAUCGCAUUGUCUCCACCUCAGAUUCGCCCCGUCCCUGUCUGCACGUGUCCUGGAAAGAGGUGUCGGCUUGCAGGAGCCCCAGGGCUUUUAGAAGCCCUGCAGGCCACUGCUCUUUCAAAGGAGGAGGGAGGCAGAGGGCUCACCGAUCAGUGAAUUUUCAGCUGACAACACUCCUCGAGGGCCAUGGGAUCAUUCUAUGCUGCGGUGAGGCCCUGCCUGAAUCACCAGACACGGUGAGCCCAACCUUUCUCACCCUGAGGGGACCAAAAUCAGAUCUGAAGAGGAGUCCUCAGAACCCAGUAGGCGCCCUGAGGCUCCCACACCAUCGGUGGAACUCUGCUCAAGGAGGUCCUGAAGACGGGAAUCCUGGGGGUGGGAGAGGGCUCCCACGCGGCCCCAAACUGGACCCAGGAUCCAGCCACAGCCGCGACUACAGCAGCAGCCCAGGGUGCCGCCGCACAGCCGCCAUUAUUUACAGAGGACGCAGCCUGACUGCCAGGAGCAGAGCGCCGGGCGGCCCAGCCAAUGCGCAUGCGCAAAUCGAGAGCCCAUUCUCCAGUCACAGUGGUUCCCACGGUUGUCAUAGAAACCAGUCCCUGAGGCUGGGCAACGCAGCAGUCCUCCGCGGCAGCGCUUGGUUGUCCAGCCUCCGAGGCUCCAGCCUGACCUCUCCACGGGGUCCACAGGGCGGAUUGCCCUAGAAUCCUAGAAUCAGCGCUGGGCGACCGUGACUGUCCUUGUCUUCUAGGACAGGAACGUCUCCAGCUGCCAGGAGUGGCAAAGGCCCGACCAGGAUGACGAAACCACAGGCGGAGUUCGGGUGAAGCAGCGUGGCAUCCCAGCCUCCGGCCUGCCCGGACGGUGUUCGGGAUCAAGUGGACCACACUCCAGCCGAGGACAAAAGCCCCACAGGAGCACAUUGUCUGGCAGGAGAGGAGCGGACCCAAGUCCAAGAAGAUGGUUGUACCUUUCCGCGGCUCUUCUCUGUGAAAUGAAGCCACACCAUGAUACAAUCUUGAAGAGGAAGUCGGGAAUGGGAGACGGCAACAAUCCCUGUCCCUGGAAGGCUAGCUUCCCUGGACAAGCCCCCGUUUCGCACACCCUGCCUUAUGCCCCUGGCGAUGGCACGGCGCUGUACCCUGCCUGGGCUCUGGCCUCUGCUCUCUACUGCCUCUUGCUCUGUCUCCGCUGUUUCUGAGGGGCCUAGAUGCCUCUUGGUCAGGCUGCAUAUCUUCUACGAAGAUUGACUUCCCAGUCCAUCCGGGAGACACUUCAUGGAGAUCCCUGUCAUGACUCUUUCUCUCUAAACUGUUUCUCUCCAAACCUGUUUCUGCUGGAUAGGGCAGGAGAGGUGCUGUCGCAUUUCCUCUGUACUUCCUGUUUCACUCUUGAGGGACAUCCUCUCCUCUGCUCAUAGGCGGACUGACUCCCUGAAUCUUCUGGCUGUAAGGAAUGUCAGGAAACAAAAGGUACUGCGCCGGACUGCGGCUGGGGUCGCGUGCAGGGGAGGAUGCCUCAGGGCUA